rnacentral:tRNA from 1 species
UGUUCCCGUAGCUCAACAGGAUAGAGCAGUCCUCUCCUAAAGGACAGAUAGAGGUUCGAGUCCUCUCGGGGACGUCC